rnacentral:rRNA from 1 species
GACGAACGCUGGCGGCGUGCUUAACACAUGCAAGUCGAACGGAAAGGCCCUGCUUUUGUGGGGUGCUCGAGUGGCGAACGGGUGAGUAACACGUGAGUAACCUGCCCUUGACUUUGGGAUAACUUCAGGAAACUGGGGCUAAUACCGGAUAGGAGCUCCUGCUGCAUGGUGGGGGUUGGAAAGUUUCGGCGGUUGGGGAUGGACUCGCGGCUUAUCAGCUUGUUGGUGGGGUAGUGGCUUACCAAGGCUUUGACGGGUAGCCGGCCUGGGAGGGUGACCGGCCACAUUGGGACUGAGAUACGGCCCAGACUCCUACGGGAGGCAGCAGGGGGGAAUAUUGCACAAUGGGCGGAAGCCGGAUGCAGAAACGCCGCGUGCGGGAUGACGGCCUUCGGGUUGAAAACCGCUUUCGCCUGUGACGAAGCGUGAGUGACGGUAAGGGGUAAAGAAGCACCGGCUAACUACGUGC